GGAUCGCCCUGAGCCAACCAGCUAGCUUAAUCACUUAAAUAAUUUAACAAUAUUCAUAACAAUACAAGACCUAACAACACAAACUAAACCAUUUUUUUACCUGAGUAUGGGAGACAGAAAAGGUUCAACCAAAGCAAUAGAGAAAGUACCGCAAGGAAAGCUGAAAGAGAGAUGAAAUAGCCCAUAUAAGCACCUUUGAUACCCCGAAACCAGGUGAGCUACCCCGAGACAGCCUAUAUAAUUUAGGGCUAACCCGUCUCUGUGGCAAAAGAGUGGGAAGAGCUCCGGGUAGAAGUGACAGACCUACCGAACCUGGUGAUAGCUGGUUGCCUAAGAAAUGGAUAGAAGUUCAGCCUCGCACGCCCCAAAUCAAGGAACAUAUCACCAAGAUACAUGAGAAAAGUACGAGAGUUAGUUGAAGGGGGUACAGCCCCUUUAACAAAGGAUACAACCUUUACAGGAGGAUAUUACUCCCCUAAUUAUAUUAGGCCGACCCAUGCCUACAUGGAAGAGAUUAUGCUAAAAUGAGUAACAAGAAGACCCAAUCUUCUCCCGCCACAAGUGUAAACCAGAUCGGACCAACCACUGGAAUUUAACGAGCCCAACCCAAGAGGGCAGUGUGAAUAAUAAAAACCUCAAGAAAACCUCACAACCAAGCAUCGUUAACCCCACACUGGAGUGCCAUUUUAAGGGAAAGACUAAAAGAAGGGGAAGGAACUCGGCAAACACAAGCCUCGCCUGUUUACCAAAAACAUCGCCUCCUGCAACUAGACUGAGUAUAGGAGGUCCAGCCUGCCCAGUGACUACGGGUUCAACGGCCGCGGUAUUUUGACCGUGCAAAGGUAGCGCAAUCACUUGUCUCUUAAAUAGAGACCUGUAUGAAUGGCUAGACGAGGGCUUAACUGUCUCCCCCUUCCAGUCAGUGAAAUUGAUCUAUCCGUGCAGAAGCGGGUAUAAUACUACAAGACGAGAAGACCCUUUGGAGCUUAAGGUACAAAAUUUAGCCACGUUAAACAACUCAAUAAAAAGCAAGAACUUAGUGGCCAUGAAAUUUUACCUUCGGUUGGGGCGACCACGGAGGAAAAACAAGCCUCCGAGUGGAUUGGGCCAAAACCCCUAAAGCCAAGAGAAACAUCUUUAAGCCGCAGAACAUCUGACCAAUAAUGAUCCGACUAGAGAGCCGAUCAACGAACCAAGUUACCCUAGGGAUAACAGCGCAAUCCUCUCCCAGAGCCCAUAUCGACGAGGGGGUUUACGACCUCGAUGUUGGAUCAGGACAUCCUAAUGGUGCAGCCGCUAUUAAGGGUUCGUUUGUUCAACGAUUAAAGUCCUACGUGAUCUGAGUUCAGACCGGAGCAAUCCAGGUCAGUUUCUAUCUGUAACGCUACUUUUUCCAGUACGAAAGGAUCGAAAAAGAGGGGCCUAUGCUUAAAGCAUGCCCCACCCCUAAUUAAUGAAAACAAAUAAACUAAGUAAAGGAAGGGCCAAAACCCCUACCGCCCAAGAUAAGGGCA
rnacentral:rRNA from 1 species